UAACAACAACCCAACAAGUUUUAGUAGGUUUGUGUACAGGAUCAUGGAUAAGUGUUUAUUUAUAGGGUCAUACCUUACCAGUGGCUAUACCACUGAAGUGUUCUCUCCCAUCAGCCAUCAGUGCAUAUAAAUUGUCACGGAAGGGUGGAUCCGAGGAGGGCCUCCCUACUCCCUGCCAGGACGUUGAUGGACUCCAUCUUCUGCAGACACGAAUGUCUGUCACGCCAGAGCUCAGGAUGUGCAUCCCGGCGGCUCCCCCAUUUCUCAGGUUCCGUUCUGCCCCUUCUUCUGCAGUGUUCCCUGUGUGUGUGUGUGUGGGGGGGGGGUGCUCUCGACAUCUUGUUCCUCGCUAAAGCAUUCAUCGGUGUCUUUUCUCAGUGCACUGACCAGUGUCUCUGGAAUAAUCACUGCAAGAAGGAAGCCUCUCUCACCAAAGCUGACAACAAUACUAACCUGAGGCAGAAACACAGUUGCUGAGUAGGCAGUUUGAUGGGCACAUCAUGUCCCUUAGCAAAACCGCAGCAGACAUUUCCGUACCAGAACCUGUGGCGGGUUUAGCGAGACAAUGAAGGGAUACGUUCUGCCAACGACAUUCAGUUGUUUGGAAAGGGCUCUUUGGUUGAGCCUUGGAUGAGACCACAGCCCCAGUCAACAUCUGGCGUGCAGCCCCAGGAGUGCCUGAGGCUGCUAAAUCAGCCAAGCCAACAGCAGCCACCUGACCUGGAGAUAUUAGAGAUAAGUGCGUGCUGUCUACCGCUGCCCCGUUUGAAGUGGUUUGUAGCACUCACUAAAACAUGUUGGAUUGAUUACACAAACAAACAAGAGGCUGGUUAAGUACUGGUUAAGCACACUGCUUUUUUUUUUUUUUUUUUAGCCGACUGAGUAUUCUAGCCACUGACUAGAAGGUUAAACUCCAUCACCACAUUGCCUUGUGGUCUAGUGACCUACAUCACCACUGACUGGUGUGGUGUCUCUGUGGACCCGUGGGUGAAGUCCUAGAGAAGCAUGCACCAGCCUGAGAAGUGCACCUAUCUGUUCAAUAGACCUGAGAGUCAUUUUUCUGACACUGGGCAACACUGGGCAGUGAAGAGAGUCAGAUUCCCAUCACGCUCCGGGACAUGUUCCAUGAAGCCCCCUCAUCUGUCAUGUUCUCAGAGGUCAGUGAAACAGAAGAAUCAGAAAUGCUGAUUGGUCAGAGUGAUGGACUCAGAAAUGACUGGUCAAGGUUGUCACUGCAGUCCUGACAGAACUUCUGUAGACCAUUCCUUGAAGGUGCUGCUGGCCGAAGGAUCACCCUGCUCCCAGCAGCCUUGCUCUGGGGCUGGUCACUCGUUCCUUUCCAGUCAGACUGCUGCUCCACACUAGGUAGACUGAGCCAAACAUGAAUGUUGUUGGGAUUUACAAAUAAACUUGAACCUUUCAAAUUUUU